CGCCGGGUAGAGGAGUUUGGUCGUCCUCGCUAGCCUCAUAAGCUAGAGAUCGUGAGUUCGAAUCUCACCCCGGCUA
rnacentral:tRNA from 2 species